rnacentral:lncRNA from 1 species
AAAGGUGGAUGGUGUGGUCCUAUUAGUCAUCCAAAAUUCCUUCUGGGAAACCCUCUCUCUACAUUAUUGUGUUGAAGAAGAACAUACGGGACACACAUGGUGAUGGAGAUGAAACAUGUGUCGCACUCUCUUAGAAUAUAUGCCUCAGUGUACCAAACUUAAACAAUAUAAAAAUUAGUGAUUGAUGUAAACCAAGCCAACACAACAAUAAUAGAUUAAUAUAUCUCCGCUGAAGAAGAAGGUGUCUGAUUCGGUUCCAAAACAAUGCACAGAAACUUGGAGAAGAUGCAUGUAACACAUACAUAAGCAAUGAGAGAAGAUUUUAAGGUAUAUACCAGCAUGCAUCGGUCAUGG